rnacentral:rRNA from 1 species
CGUGCCUAAUACAUGCAAGUCGAACGCAUUGUGGUUGAAAUGAUAUGAAGAACUUGUUCAGAUUUGAUUUCAACAUUGCAAUGAGUGGCGAACGGGUGAGUAACACGUGGGAAACCUACCUCUUAGCAGGGGAUAACAUUUGGAAACAAUGCUAAUACCGUAUAAUAAUUAAAACCGCAUGGUUUUAGUUUAAAAGAUGGUCUUGCUAUCACUAAGAGAUGGUCCCGCGGUGUAUUAGUUAGUUGGUGAGGUAAUGGCUCACCAAGACAAUGAUACAUAGCCGAGUUGAGAGACUGACCGGCCACAAUGGGACUGAGACACGGCCCAUACUCCUACGGGAGGCAGCAGUAGGGAAUCUUCCACAAUGGACGAAAGUCUGAUGGAGCAACGCCGCGUGUGUGAUGAAGGGUUUCGGCUCGUAAAACACUGUUGUAAGAGAAGAAUGACAUUGAGAGUAACUGUUCAAUGUGUGACGGUAUCUUACCAGAAAGGAACGGCUAAAUACGUG